AUUGAACGCUGGCGGCAUGCUUUACACAUGCAAGUCGAACGGCAACGAGGAGAAGCUUGCUUCUCUGUCGGCGAGUGGCGAACGGGUGAGUAUAGCAUCGGAACGUGCCAAGUAGUGGGGGAUAACCAAACGAAAGUUUGGCUAAUACCGCGUAAGCUCCAAGGAGGAAAGUAGGGGACCUAAAUAAGGCCUUACGCUAUUUGAUCGGCCGAUGUCGGAUUAGCUAGUUGGUGGGGUAAUGGCUCACCAAGGCAAUGAUCCGUAGCGGGUCUGAGAGGACGAUCAGCCACACUGGGACUGAGACACGGCCCAGACUCCUACGGGAGGCAGCAGUGGGGAAUUUUGGACAAUGGGGGAAACCCUGAUCCAGCCAUGCCGCGUGUAUGAAGAAGGCCUUAGGGUUGUAAAGUACUUUUGUUAGGGAAGAAAAGCUAGUUUUUAAUAAAAAUUAGUGAUGACGGUACCUAAAGAAUAAGCACCGGCUAACUACGUG
rnacentral:rRNA from 1 species